GGAGAGGUGCCGGAGCGGCUGAACGGGGCUGCCUGCUAAGCAGUUGUAGGAGGUUGACUCCUACCGAGAGUUCGAAUCUCUCCCUCUCCGCCA
rnacentral:tRNA from 1 species